AGCGAACGCUGGCGGCAGGCCUAACACAUGCAAGUCGAACGAAGUCUUCGGACUUAGUGGCGGACGGGUGAGUAACACGUGGGAACGUGCCUUUAGGUGCGGAAUAACUCAGGGAAACUUGUGCUAAUACCGAAUGUGCCCUUCGGGGGAAAGAUUUAUCGCCUUUAGAGCGGCCCGCGACUGAUUGGCUAGUUGGUGAGGUAAAGGCUCACCAAGGCUACGAUCAGUAGCUGGUCUGAGAGGAUGACCAGCCACAUUGGGACUGAGACACGGCCCAAACUCCUACGGGAGGCAGCAGUGGGGAAUCUUGCGCAAUGGGCGAAAGCCUGACGCAGCCAUGCCGCGUGGAUGAUGAAGGUCUUAGGAUUGUAAAAUCCUUUCACCGGUGAAGAUAAUGACUGUAGCCGGAGAAGAAGCCCCGGCUAACUUCGUGCCAGCCGCCGCCGUAAGAC
rnacentral:rRNA from 1 species